rnacentral:rRNA from 1 species
AACGAACGCUGGCGGCAUGCCUAACACAUGCAAGUCGAACGAGACCUUCGGGUCUAGUGGCGCACGGGUGCGUAACGCGUGGGAACCUGCCCUUAGGUUCGGAAUAACUCCCCGAAAGGGGUGCUAAUACCGGAUAAUGUCUUCGGACCAAAGAUUUAUCGCCUUUGGAUGGGCCCGCGUCGGAUUAGCUAGUUGGUAGGGUAAAAGCCUACCAAGGCGACGAUCCAUAGCUGGUCUGAGAGGAUGAUCAGCCACACUGGGACUGAGACACGGCCCAGACUCCUACGGGAGGCAGCAGUGGGGAAUAUUGGACAAUGGGCGAAAGCCUGAUCCAGCAAUGCCGCGUGAGUGAUGAAGGCCUUAGGGUUGUAAAGCUCUUUUACCCGGGAUGAUAAUGACAGUACCGGGAGAAUAAGCGCCGGCUAACUCCGUA